GGAUAGAGCCAGCGAAGUCGCUCCUAUUCAGCCAAAGGCCUGGGGCAUCGGUGUGUCCGGUUGCUAAUCACGCCUGUCGCGCCUUUUGCUUCUGAUUGAGGUGCAUUUGCAGGCGUUUGCGCUGAGACUUGCGGAUCAGCGUCUGGACCCGUGCCUAGAGGCCGUCCUUGUGGCGGAACUUGGGCACGGCGACGGUUAUUUGGUCUGCUCGUACCACGGCUUGGCCUACGGACAGGGGCGCAGUCGUUGCUUUCGGGCGUUGGCAUCGCAUGCGAUGACUCGUUCGGGAGCCGCGGUGGUGUUCCUCGUUCCCAAGUCGGCUCUCGGUGUAAAAGCUGGUCACCUAUCCGACCCGUCUUGAAACACGGACCAAGGAGUUUAGCGUAUACGCGAGCCAUUGGGUGUCAAAACUCACAGGCACAAUGAAAGUGAAGGCCCAUCCGGUGGGCUGACAUGCGAGUUGGUGGGCCUCGGCCUGCCGAUGCAGCAUGGUCCCGUUCCAUUCGCUUGCGAUGGAGCGGAGACAGAGCGUAUGCGCUGAG
rnacentral:rRNA from 1 species